rnacentral:rRNA from 1 species
GACGAACGCUGGCGGCGUGCUUAACACAUGCAAGUCGAACGGAAAGGCCCUGCUUUUGUGGGGUGCUCGAGUGGCGAACGGGUGAGUAACACGUGAGUAACCUGCCCUUGACUUUGGGAUAACUUCAGGAAACUGGGGCUAAUACCGGAUAGGAGCUCCUGCUGCAUGGUGGGGGUUGGAAAGUUUCGGCGGUUGGGGAUGGACUCGCGGCUUAUCAGCUUGUUGGUGGGGUAGUGGCUUACCAAGGCUUUGACGGGUAGCCGGCCUGAGAGGGUGACCGGCCACAUUGGGACUGAGAUACGGCCCAGGCUCCUACGGGAGGCAGCAGUGGGGAAUAUUGCACAAUGGGCGGAAGCCUGAUGCAGCAACGCCGCGUGCGGGAUGACGGCCUUCGGGUUGUAAACCGCUUUCGCCUGUGACGAAGCGUGAGUGACGGUAAUGGGUAAAGAAGCACCGGCUAGCUACGUG